GGCCAAGCGGGAGCAGGAAGAGAGACAUCUCAGUUCAAGGCCAUCAAGCACAGUUUCUCAGGCCAUUCUGGGAUGUGAGGGCACCCCUUCCCCCAUCUCCAGAUUUUGUCUUCUCAGCCACCACGUUACUGCCCUGCUGGUCAGCGUGUGGAGAGUGGAUCGGCAGGUUCUGCAUGAGAUUGGCAUGGGGCAGGCGGCAGACAGCUUGGUGCUGAGGACUGUAUGUACCUGGAUAUCCUGAGCACUGGACCACACAUGAACACAAACAGAGAAGCAGUGGGUGUGUGUGCAGUGAGCCUCCUCUACCAAAUACCUGGAUGAACUCGGGAUUCGUGGCCUGCUGGGAGAUCCAUCUCUCCAGGCUGAAACCCAACCCCCACCACCACCAGACACCAGAAAACAAAGAGACCUUUUUGCAUACCUGGGAACCAGUGGACAUCAAG
rnacentral:lncRNA from 1 species